CCUCUGCCAGGAUAGCUCAGUUGGUAGAACAUUAGACUCUUAAUUUGAGGUUCAUGGGUUCGAGGCCAACAUUGAGGA